UCUAGCCAUCAACGCGUACGGGUGUUGGGAGACAUUGCCCGGAGAUGGAUUCUGAGACACGAAUCCAGACCCUACGGGGUGCAGCAGGCGCGAAAACUUGGCAAUGCGAGCAAUCGUGACCAGGGAACUCCAAGUGCGUAGGGUAAGACCUACGCUUUUCUUGACUCUUCAAAGGUCUUGGAAUAAGGGGUGGGUAAGGACGGUGCCAGCCGCCGCGGUAAUACCGGCGCCUCAAGUGGUAGUCGCUUUUAUUGGGCCUAAAACGUCCGUAGCCGGUCUGGUGCAUUCGUGGGUAAAUCAACCCGCUCAACGGGUUGAAUUCUGCGAGCACGGCCAGACUUGGGACCGGGAGAGGUGUGGGGUACUCUCAGGGUAGGGGUAAAAUCCUGUCAUCCUGAGAGGACCACCUGUUGCGAAGGCGCCACACUAGAACGGAUCCGACGGUCAGGGACGAAACCUAGGGGCACGAACCGGAUUAGAUACCCGGGUAGUCCUAGGUGUAAACGCUGUGGACUUGAUGUUGGGGGCGCUCCGAGCGCUCUCAGUGUCGAAGCGAAGGUGAUAAGUCCACUGCCUGGGGAGUACGGUCGCAAGGCUGAAACUUAAAGGAAUUGGCGGGGGAGCACUGCAACCUGAGGAUUGUGCGGUUUAAUUGGAUUCAACGCCGGG
rnacentral:rRNA from 1 species